GAUGAGAAUGCCGACGAGACGCAGACAUACCAUGCCGUCCUCCACAGCCAGCUGGGUGCUCACAAGAUCAUCUUUGAGGCUGAAGUGAUGGCAGUCGACAAUUCUCAGGAAUUUACCAAGUCCGGCCUGAAUCCCUACGUGGAAUUCAGAGCAUGCAUCGAUUUUCACUGCUUUAAAGAUGGAGAAAAAUACCUCAGGUACAAGUCUCUCAAAUGGUGGGCACACGCCCGGCUGGCUGGUGCAUCCAGACUAGUGUGCGGCUCGUGCAGCGAAAGUGGCACGGUGAAACAUAUCGAGGAGCUGAAGAUCUCUGGCAUUCCUUGAAUGACGAAGCAUUACUGGACGGAAGAGGAAUGCAUGCGAUUCUGCGAUAACGUUCUCUUUUAUCAAGGAACAUGUUCGGGAUGAUGAAAGGACUUACCUUUUCAACGUCGCAAUGGAGAAUGAACCAAGCCAGUCAUCAAGACGGAAAGUUCAAUGUAGGCGCCUUCAGAAUCCUUCACGUAUUCCAGUGCUGCCCGACUAAUACCUGCGAUCUAUGGUAACUGGCAAAUCCACCAGUUAAUACCCAACUUCCCGACUUCGGGCCACAUAUACGUUUCUUGAAGACACCCCACAGAAGCCACGUCCUUCAUCACAGCCAUCUGUCGAGUGCCUCUGUAUGGACUCUAUUUUCAUCUGCUGGGCGAAACGGCUGUUUACAUCUGGUGAUUUACUCAACAGAAUACGUGCAUGGUCGCUAUUUAUCAAUGGCGCGACAGAAUUCAUGACCAAUAUUUUAUCAGCACGAG